GACGAACGCUGGCGGCGUGCCUAAUACAUGCAAGUAGAACGCUGAAGGAGGAGCUUGCUUCUCCGGAUGAGUUGCGAACGGGUGAGUAACGCGUAGGUAACCUGCCUGGUAGCGGGGGAUAACUAUUGGAAACGAUAGCUAAUACCGCAUAAGAGUAGAUGUCGCAUGACAUUUGCUUAAAAGGUGCAACCGCACCACUACCAGAUGGACCUGCGUUGUAUUAGCUAGUUGGUGAGGUAACGGCUCACCAAGGCAACGAUACAUAGCCGACCUGAGAGGGUGAUCGGCCACACUGGGACUGAGACACGGCCCAGACUCCUACGGGAGGCAGCAGUAGGGAAUCUUCGGCAAUGGACGGAAGUCUGACCGAGCAACGCCGCGUGAGUGAAGAAGGUUUUCGGAUCGUAAAGCUCUGUUGUAAGAGAAGAACGAGUGUGAGAGUGGAAAGUUCACACUGUGACGGUAUCUUACCAGAAAGGGACGGCUAACUACGUG
rnacentral:rRNA from 1 species